rnacentral:pre_miRNA from 1 species
UGUUGGAUACAUUGGAUAUGUUGGAUACAUGUAUCCAACAUAUCCAAUGUAUCCAACAUAUCCAAUGUAUCCAACA